UGGUUGGGGCAGGUCAGCCUCUUGGCAGAACCUCACGGUAUUAGAACACAGAAGAGACUUUUAUUUUUAGCUUUACUGUCUCAGAAACUUAAUUUUGCCAGGGCACACAGUCUGGUCACAUUUAGGGAGACUGACAAAAGCUAAUCAAAGUUAGGGGAAACUAACAUGUAAAAGCCCAGAGUAUUCAUAAAAGGCAUAUGGAGUUUAUACAUUUUCAAACAUCAUCUCUUACUCCGAUGGAAAUAUGUGCAUUGGUCCAUGCUCUGAAAGUAAAACUGUGUGGAAAGAUGAUUUUACUAAGUAAGAAGGUGGGCCUGUUCCCUGCUUUGCCAUUUCUCUGUGAAAUGAUGGUGCCAUCAGAAUUUGAAGUGUCUACUUUCCUAGACCAGGUACAAAGUUUGAAAUAAAAUCUGCUAGGAGAAGACUUAAAAAGGCAAUUUUCUUUCCACUUUGAUAUUCAAAUGAGCCAUGUGCAGAUUUCAGCCUUUCUCUAUCUUUCUUUAAUAAGAUGGUAGGAAAUGAGUUAUGGUGAUUUUUUUUUUUUUCCACUGUUGGUUAUCUAAAACACUAGAAUUUGCGGUCCUUUACGUUUCCCUUUGACCAGUCAUGACAUUAGCAAUGCUUUGCCCGUGUAUGAGGCAGUAUCUUUAUCAUUCAGUAGUUUUGGUUUUUAUUAGCAGCGAUUGCUAUUUUGCCAUGUGGCGCCCCCUAACCCCUGAAGGGGUACAGAUCUGUGAGUUCUGAGUCUGAGGUGCUGGUUUUACCAGGAUAAGCUAGGGAUCCUGGCAGACCUACUAAUUCACUUGCAGAGCCUCCGCAAUUCACUCCUAUCCCUGGGAGACAGAACAUUCUGUGUUGGUACAAGGCCAAGAAGCCCACAGCUGUGACUAAUCAGCUGGUAUGUUCCCUCAGGCUCUUCCAGAGAAAUUGAGAUUUCAUGGGACUCCAAUAUGAGUCCAAUAAAGACAAAAGACAUAUUCCCAUGACAGAGAAUAUUAUCCUGUGAGGAGAUCAAAGCUUGAAGAACACCUUUCAGCAUCUUGUAAGGCAAGUCCUAUGGUGAUGAACUUCUUCAUUCCUGAAAUACAGCUAUACCAGGUUAGAUAGUCUUCUUUGCAAUUUUUUUCUUUCAACAAUUUGACUCUAUCAUCUCACUUUCUCCUGGUCUGCUAGGCUUCUGCUGAGAAAUACACUGAUAGCUUUACGGGGAUUUCCUUAUAUGCAUUUGUUUCUCUUUAUGUGUUCUCUUGUUUAAAAUGUUUUCAUUGUCUUUGAUCUUAGACAGUUUUAUUAUAAUUUACUUGGAGAAGAUUGUUCUCGGUUGAAAUUUUGGGGUGACCUAUUAAUUUCAUGAACUUGGAAAUAUGAAUCUCUCUCAAGAUUUAGGAAGUUCUCAGACAUUAUUCUUUUAAUUAAAUUUCUGCUUUUUUCUUCCUCUCUUCUCAUACUGAAAUUAUAAUAAUGCAUAGAUUGUUUAUUUUAGUGGCAAUCCAUAAUUCAAGUAGGCUUUCUUCACUCCUUUAAAUAUUUUUGUUUUUUACUUUUUGUUCUUUUAACUGGAUGAUUUCAAGUGAUGUAUCUUCUGUUUCACUAAUUCUUUCUUCUGCUUGGCUAUUGUUAAAGACUAAUAUAUUCUUCAGUUCAAUCAGUGUAUUUUUCAAUUCUAAGAUGUCUAUUUUUUAAUGGUUUCUGUUUCUUUAUUGAACUUCCUAUUUUGUUCAUUCAUUGUUUUCCUAAUUUUAUUUAAUUAUCUAUCUGUGUUUUCUUGUAAACUGAAUUUCUAUAAAGGUGUUAAUCAGAAUUCUUUUCAGACAGUUUUGGGAUUAAUCAGAAUUCUUUUCAGACAGUUUUUGAUCUCUGUUUCUUUAAAGUCACUCAUUAGAGUUUUAUUAGUUUUCUUUGGUUGAGUCAUAUUUCCUUGUUUAUUCAUAAUCCUUGUGGCCUUGCAUUGGUAUCUGUACAUUUGAAGAGGUAAAACCUCUUUUGGCCUUUAUAGUUCGACUUUGACAUACAAAACCCUUCAUGAGAGAAGUCUGUCCAAAGAUUCUGGGUGGACUGUCUGGUGGUGACCAAAGGUAGGCUUGCUUCUAGUGUCCUUGGGUGGAUAAGUCUGGUGUUAGCAAGUUGGAGAUCCUAUUGUUUGUGUACACAGGGGCCAUCCUGGUGCCUGGGUCCAUGUGGAUGGCUCUGAUGUGGAGACUACUGUGAUGUUCCUGAGACCUGGUCUGCAUGGGCAGGCUUGGAUCAUGGGUCAGAGCCUAGGAACCACUGUGGUAGCCUGGCAUUUGCGCUCACUUCACUUUCCUUCUCCCAUGGGAAGAGGGUAUUUUUCUGUGUGCUGGGUUACCUAGGGUUGGAGAAGAAUGUUGAGAGUAGUGUGAAUCUGUCUUUCCUACCUUCUUGAUUAUCUUUUCUAAUUUCUGUGCUUCAUUCAGGUGCUGUAAUUUCUUAUCUGGAAUUCUUGGCUAUUGUAAAAUUGUUUUUGCAUGUGGAUAGUUGUUCAAACUGAAAAACUCUAAAAAUUCCUAUGCCACCAUUUUGCUGAUGUUCAUCCCCAUACUUUAAUUGUUGUUCUUUAAUCUCAGAUAUUAGUUCUAAAUAUGUUAAAAACAAAGGAAAACUCAACAAGCUAUCAAACCAGAGCCAAAACAGAUAAGCAAGCAGACAAAGAAGCAAAGAAACAAAACAGAAUUCCAAGCUAUCAUGAUAGUCAAAUCCAGAAGCAGUGUAGCUUCUAAAGGCAACAGGAUCCAGAGAAGUAUUUAUCAUCUCAAAGUCUAUUAGUGCUUUCUUGUGGUCGCUAGUUUAUUCAUAAAUAUGUUUUUUAUUAAAGCAACUUUGUCCAUAGAAUGAGGGAAAGCAAGACUAUACCUUAUAAUGAUAGUUCUCUGCUCAUGAGGUAUUUAAUUUUAAAUAUCAGUUAUAUUCUCCUUCCUUUGCAUUUGAUUGGUGAGUAAUUGAGUCAUGAAGGGAUAUAUUGUAGGUGAGGGGGAGCAUCAUGGGAGAACAACAGCGAAUCCUUUGCCUAUGAUUUCUUUAGCUUUUGAUUUAUUUCUUAAGUCCUCAUAAAGAUUCUAGUAGUGAUGAAUUUCAAAAUUUCUAGCUGUGCUUUGAUUUAUUGAGAUAGUAACACAAGCAAAACCAAGGUAUAAAGGUUUUGUAGAAACUUUACUACUUUGGUUUUGAUUAGGAUUUUCUUUUGUAUACUUGUUCAGGUGAAAGAUUUGUGAAUAAUUAUCAACUUAAAAUUAUAUAUAUGACCUAUCAUUUAGACAUGCAACUCUUACACUUUAUGUAAACUUGAAAUAAAGCUUUCAGACUCAAAAUAUUUUUAUUUUUUUGAAAAAUAGUAUUGAAAAUCUUGCUUGGAAUCUUUGAAAACUGAUUGAGGCUUUAUUUAUUUAACUUAUGGUGUACACCUACAUUAUGGACUUGUAUGCACAAUGGCUCUGGAAGGAUUAUUUGAAUUUAGAAUUGUCACAGCUACAAAUGAAUUACUUGAUAAUAAAACUUAUGUAUGAUGGACAAAGACAUGCUUUUAUAGUCAACUUCUGUGAGUGUGUAUGCAUAGAUAGAUAGAUAGAUAGAUAGAUUAGAAUUUUAUUUCAUAGUGACUAUAGUUGUUUGGAUAAUAUUUUCAAACUGUCCCUACUGUGGAAUUUGUGAUACCCAUAAGUGCAUCAGUCCAGAGAAUGUUUCUACAAUGGUCCAGAUUGUUUUUACGUCCUGAUUUGAUAUCAUCUCGAGAAAGUUAUUUUGAGUUCCACCCUGAAAGAGGUUUGGCUGAGAGAGCCAGUGCAGAUUGUAUGCAGUUUCAUUUUGAAGUUUCUCAACUGUAUUGCUAUGGUUCCUACAUACUAUUUGUCUGAUUUUCUUUUUGUUGGUGUUAGAGAUGAUAGAAGUUGAGGAUUUUUCUCUCGUUCCACUUAUUAUUGGCAAAAGGCUAUGGCUGCCCUAGAAAGGAAUCAUUUCUCUUUGCUAUUCAGAUAGACAUUCCAGGUUACAGGUCAAACUCUGUCUUUUUUUUUGGAGGAAACGAAUGAUCUCUAGGUUUGAAUAUUCUAAAACCAGCAUUCUGUAAUAUUCAUGAAACCUUAAAUCAGUGUUCCCUCCAGUUUUACUAUUAAAUUAUCAGGGUUUUUGUAUUUACUUGGUUCAUUCCAGUGUGUUUGUGAGAUGACAUCUACAGAGAUUUGUAAGCUUUUCAAACCAAAGAGCAAAAUUAUGUAAAUAUUCAUAAGUGCUGUGAAAUGAAGCAGUGUGAAAAUAAGAUCUGAGAACUUUAAUCUGUACAUCAGAAUUCAUUCUUUCUUUUACUCUGUUCUUUUCUCCACACCUAGAUCCCCAUUUUUCCUCUGUACAUCUUGCAUUUCCUUUUAUCCUAACUGUUCUCCUUUCACCUCUUGCAAUAAUUAGAUAACAUAUAGCUCUUUGGCCCAAGACUUAACAUUUAAUAAUUUUAUAAUUUUUAUCUCACAUCCUGUUUAAUGGUUUUUACCUUAGGAGAUAGUAGUGAAAAUAAUCCUUUCAAGGUGACGUGCUAAUAAUAGGAGUAUACAUAGUAUACUUCUAGGGUAUUUUUUUUCUGGAACUGUUGACUUUUAAAAUAACGUGUUAUUUUAAUUUAAAUAAUAUAUUUUGAAUGAGAGAGAUCUCUUUGACUCCAUAGUAAAUCAUAUGUAAAUAAUAACAAUUAAUUAACAAUCCUUUAUCUAUAGAAUAUCUGCUUAAAGUAUAGUAGACCAGGAAAGUAGCUCACUGCCUUAAUUUUCCUCUUUUUAAAUAAUUGCUUGGCUUCCUAUUCCAUUAAACCCUGGAAAUAUGAAAUAUGAGCUCUAAUAAUAUGUUAUAAAUCAAAAUAAUUAUGAGAUAUAGAUAAAAUAUUGCUCUUUUAGCAAUGAUACACUACAUGUUCUUCCAAAUGUUCAUAUUUUACAAGGAAUGCACUCCAUGUAGAACUGAGUCCUGACGGGAACUCCCCUCAGUUAUUAACGUUAAUUGAGAUCUCAUUCUGUGAGGUGCACCAUACCAAAAAAAAUAGAAUUUCAGGAGUUCCUGUCAUGGCUCAGCAGUUACCAAACCCGACUAGUAUCCAUGAGGACACGGGUUUGAUCCUGGCCUCAC